CUGUUUCAGCCCCGGGUUCUGCUGACAGACUGGGAAGCGUUUGGCCCAACACAUGCUCUGCCAACACAGCUACUACCCACUGUAUCCACCGCACGAAGACGUCAACGUUGACUACGACCACUUUGAAGUGUACGGACGUAUGCCAGUGACACCACAUGUUCUCGUCGUACCCUCAGAUCUGAGAUACUUUGUCAAGGACAUCAAGGGGUGUUGCGUGGUCAACCCUGGACGAGUAGCCAAGGGUCAAGUUAGGGGCACAUACUGCAGACUUGUGAUCCC